GAUCGGGGAUAACACCUGGAAACAGAUGCUAAUACCGGAUAACAACAGAUGAUGCCUAUCAACUGUUUAAAAGAUGUUCUGCUAUCACUCUUGGGAUGGACCUGCGGUGCAUUAGCUAGUUGGUAGGGGUAACGGGCCUACCAAGGCGAUGAUGCAUAGCCCGAGUUGAGAGACUGAUCGGGCCACAUUGGGACUGAGACACGGGCCCAAACUCCUACGGGAGGCAGCAGUAGGGGGAAUCUUCCACAAUGGACGCAAAGUCUGAUGGAGCAAAACGCCGCGUGAGUGAAGAAGGGUUUCGGCUCGUAAAAGCUCUGUUGUUGGUGAAGAAGGACAGGGGUAGUAACUGUACCCUUUUGUUUGACGGUAAUCAAUUUAGAAAGUCACGGGCUAACUACGUGCCCAGCAGCCGCGGUAAAU
rnacentral:rRNA from 1 species